UACGAAGGGGGCUAGCGUUGCUCGGAAUCACUGGGCGUAAAGCGUGCGCAGGCGGUUCGUUAAGUCAGAUGUGAAAGCCCCCGGGCUCAACCUGGGAACUGCAUUUGAAACUGGCGGGCUUGAGUGUGGCAGAGGGGGGGUGGAAUUCCGCGUGUAGCAGUGAAAAUGCGUAGAGAUGCGGAGGAAUACCGAUGGCGAAGGCAGCCCCCC
rnacentral:rRNA from 1 species